rfam:Hymenolepis nana genome assembly, scaffold: HNAJ_scaffold0003254
GGCUCAGUGGUCUAGGGGUAUGAUUCUCGCUUUGGGUGCCUUUUGGUGCGAGAGGUCCCGGGUUCAAAUCCCGGCUGAGCCC